rnacentral:rRNA from 1 species
GACGAACCGUGCAAACGUUAUUCGGAAUCACUGGGCUUAAAGCGCGUGUAGGCGGGACGGCACGUCGGUCGCUGAAAGCCCCCCGGCUCAACCGGGGAAUGGGCGCCGAUACGACCGUCCUGGAGGAACGUAGGGGGACCUGGAACUUCCGGUGGAGCGGUGAAAUGCGUAGAUAUCGUAAGGAAGACCAGUGGCGAAGGCGAGUCCCUGGACAACUCCUGACACUGAGGCACGAAAGCUAGGGGAGCAAACAGG